CAGUAGCCGCGGUAAGACAGAGGAUGCAAGCGUUGUCCGGAAUUAUUGGGCGUAAAGGGCUCGCAGGCGGUUUCUUAAGUCUGAUGUGAAAGCCCCCGGCUCAACCGGGGAGGGUCAUUGGAAACUGGGAAACUUGAGUGCAGAAGAGGAGAGUGGAAUUCCACGUGUAGCGGUGAAAUGCGUAGAGAUGUGGAGGAACACCAGUGGCGAAGGCGACUCUCUGGUCUGUAACUGACGCUGAGGAGCGAAAGCGUGGGGAGCGAACAGGAUUAGAUACCCCCGUAGUCCCUGUCUCUUAUAC
rnacentral:rRNA from 1 species